GAUCGCCUGGAAUGUUUGCUAGCACGCUAAUGUCCCUGAGCCGAUGCUUUUUUAAUAAGGGGUUCACUGAGCGACUAUUGUGCAAGCUCGACAUGUAUCGAGAAGCCUACGGUCGUGUAUUUGCGCCCCGCCUUGAACCAAAGGGUUCAAGGGCAACAGCACUGCGGCGGCAUUUUGGGUGGUCA
rnacentral:other from 1 species